UACGUAGGGCGCAAGCGUUGUCCGGAAUUAUUGGGCGUAAAGAGCUCGUAGGCGGCUUAGCAAGUCGGGUGUGAAACCUCCAGGCUCAACCUGGAGACGCCACUCGAUACUGCUAUGGCUUGAGUUCGGUAGGGGUAAGCGGAAUUCCUGGUGUAGCGGUGAAAUGCGCAGAUAUCAGGAGGAACACCGAUGGCGAAGGCAGCUUACUGGGCCGAUACUGACGCUGAGGAGCGAAAGCGUGGGGAGCGAACAGG
rnacentral:rRNA from 1 species